UAAACCCAUUGCCCAAAUUAAAAAUUUACAUUAAUAUCCUAAAAGUCUCUCAAUACCUACUAGGCUUUUCCUUCAUUUAUUUGCAUAUAUUUUCUAUCUUUCUUUUGCUAUAUUCUCUUAGGAAUUUUAUCAACCAAUUGAUAAGCUUAAAAGCAUUCAAAAAAUAUAACUAAGCAUUUCAAUCCUUAAAUUUCACCAAACACAAAAAUAUGAAUUUAAAAAAAUUCAAUCUCAACGAAACUAAUCAAAAUUAAAUCGGUUGAGUUUAUAUAUACUACAAUUUUAAAGUAGGGGAGAGAUGAGAGUGAAUUUUGUUGAGUGGCUUAUUUUAGCAUGCGUGAGUGGACUGGUGAGGGUGGCAUGCUUUUGGGCAGUGGCAAAGGGCGUGAUUCUAAUGGCCCUCGCAAUGGCUAAGGUAGAGUUAUGAUGUUGCCUCCUUUGUCGCACGUUUUCUGUUCAUUCACUUGCACACCCACAAAUUGGAAGGACAAAAAAGAUAAAGAUGGGUAUAUAAAACCAAUCAAAGUGAAGUGGUCAGGGAGGGAGUGGGAGGGAAUUAAUUUGUUUUGUUUGGAUU
rnacentral:lncRNA from 1 species